AACGUGAUACUUCACCAUAAGGGGUUCUGGGAACAGUCUGAUCCUUGUGAAAUUUUUCAGUAGGCACUGGGGCAGAGUGGCUAGAAGUCUUUGGAAUCUAACAAAUUCACGCCCUUCCUUAUCUACCUGUCACUGUGGCUUACUCUGGGUAUUCCCAGGCAACAGGGCUGGCAUCCUGGUUACUCUGACAUCUGAAGAUGACUGAGAGGCUUUCUGGCUUUGCAUCUGUCUAGUCUGCAUCUGUGCAGCAUCCCCGGCUGCCUCCACAGAGAGACCCUGUCAUUGUCAGAGGAUUGGGCUCUCUCUUGGCCUUCUGGGAGAUCAGAGCCAUGUUGUAAAGACAACCUCACUGUCUCUGCUUGCUGCUUGCCAGAAAUCCCUAACUGGUUGUCAGCAGUUAUGCUGAGGUCCUUCAAAGUGGACAUUCCCAUUUGAAUGCCUCGCAUUUCAGCUUGGGUCAUUUUCAGCUGGUUUUUAACACGGCACCUUUUCCCCAUCACCAUUCUGUACUGAUCUCCACUCUCAUGUCCUGAAAAAGACACUCUCCUCACCUCACUCUUUGACACAGACUCUAAAUGAUUACAGCAUGUAUAACCUCACUUUCAGCCUCUUUUAGCCCAUUCUUCAAUGAAUUACAAUGCAUUUUUAAGGCAUAAUCACUCUUUCCCUUAACACAAAAAAGAAUCAAUGUUCAUUUGAAAAAAAUCAAAGAGGUAAAACAGAGAAAAUGAAAAGUAUGUGCAAUUAAAGUGGCCAGAGAAGACUGUUGUCAUUAUACAAGUGUCUUCCCUUUGUAUUGGUGCAUGUGUCCUGUACGUUACAGGUAGAGGUAUACGUAUGGCCAUACAGCUGUGAAAGUUUAUUUUAAAAAGUGGCUGCAACUUUAGCUUGUCGGCCAAAGAAGAUGAACAUAUUUGGUUGAGAUACUUGUUGUUUUGUUUAGGCUAACAGUUAUUUUUCCCCUUUAAAAGAAGUCAUAACAUGCAUACAUUAUACUGCACAAAAACUCAGUGUACAGUUUGAGAAAUUCUUACAUAUGUCUAUUCUUAUGUAAUAGCCACCAAGAUCAAGACAGAAUGUUUCCAGUGCCCCACACCCUUGAAGCUUCCCUCAUGGCCCUUCCCAGUCACUAACCCCUCUCCCCUAAGAGGAAACCACUAUUCUGACCUCUAUCACCAUAGAUUAGUUUUGUCAUUUCCCGAACUUCAUAUAAAUGGAAUCAUACAGUAAUUACGCUUUGGUGUCUGAUUUCUUUUGAUCAAUAUUAUGUCUGUGAAAGUCAUGCAUAUUGUUGAGCUUAAAGUAGUUUGUUCAUUAUUAUUACCACAUAGUAUUCCUUGUCUGAAUUUACUUUGUUGAUGGGCAAUUUUGGAUUGUUCCCAGUUUUAGGCUUUUAUGUGUAAAGAUGCUACUCUGGAUAAGGCUGAGGCCUUUGUUGUGGUUGUAUCAUCACCCAACUUCUCCCUCUGCUCAAUCCUGCUCCCUUCUCUCCCUCCAUCACCAUCAAUCUUAAUGGAUUCCCUAAUAAUCUUCUCUCGUGGUAAUAAUCUCCAUCUCACAGUCUACUUCCUGGGAACCUGACCUGUAACAACAGCUUUGAUGGAUAUAUUAUAUCAAAUUGACUGUGCUGUUAUAUUUUGCUCUAAGACUUGGGAAAAACUGAACCUUUGAAGUCCAGUUUUCAUAAGGCCCUGGUCCAUCAAGGCAUAGGAGAUAUGGGUCUUUUAUGUAUGAAGAGAUUAAAAGAAAGAGAUAAAGUUCUGGAGGUUAUAUAGUAUAUUAGCUAUCUAUUUAUUACUGCACAACAAAUUACCCCAAAACUUAGCAGCUGAAAAUGACAACAUAUUAUUUUACAGAUUCCAAGGAUCAGGAAUCCAGGUGCAACUUAGCUGGGUCCUCUGGCUUUGGGUCUCUCACAGGGUUGCAGAUAUCUCAAGGCUUAGCUGGGAAAGAUUUGCUUCCAAUGUGACUCCUGUGUUUGUUGGCAGGAUUCAGUUCCUGGUGGGUUGUUGGACUGAGUUUCACUUCCUCAUAUGCUGUUGACCACCCUCAGUUUCUUGCUGUGUGGUUCUCUCCAUAGGUUAACUGACAACACGGCAGCAAAGAAGCGAGAGAGUAUGAGAGAAUGUCAGCAACAGAGACAAAGCUGGCAGGAUGGAGGUCAGACUCUUCUGUAACCUCAACAUGGAAAUGACACCCCAUCAUCUGCACUCUAUUAUUUUUGUUAGAAGCGAGUCACCAGGUCCCGUUUAUACUCAUGGGAAGGGGAUUACUCAAGGGUGUGGGUGGCAGGAGGUGGGGAUCCCUGGGAACCCUAUCAGAAGCUGCCUACCAUGUCUAUAUAAAGUAAUAUUUGAGAUCCAAGUGCUGAUCCAGUACAGAAAAACUCUCCAACCAUUUUUGCCACCUAUAACUUUGCAGUUAGGAACGUCCACAGGAAUAUUAGAACUGUUUCCCUUUGAUAGAAGGCCAUAUGUCAGUGGAGGUGUUUUUGGCGCUUACUAAUGCACUCAGUAACUUGAUUUGAAAAGAGAACUGUGCAAUACUGUAUAAUUUCAAACACUUUCCUAGCAAAAAUAUAUUACCUUUAAUUAGGCUGAUUUAAAGCUGUUAAGAUUCUUGUCAGAAAUAAUUUUUAAGUGGAUGUGUCAAGAUGAAAACAGCAGUUGUCAAGUGAAGAAAGCGGUAAUUUGUGUGUGUGCUGUCUGGCUUAUGAGAAAUUGGGUCUUUAAAUACCAACCAAGCAUUCCUGCUAACAAUUUCUUUUAUAGAAGCCAUUCUGGCAGUUUGGGAUUCAAAAUGUUGGAAUGCUAUUGUUUGUGGUAAAUAUUUGUCCUAUGACUAGGGAAUUAAAUUUAGUUCCUACCCUGUAAUAUAGACAAAAGCAUCUCUAAGAAGAGAAAGCAUUUAAGCAAUUAAAUUCACCAAGUGGUCAAACACAUAGCAUGAGCAAAGCAUUCUGGGUGAUUACAGAGUGGAAUAAUAAUAACAAUAAUGAAGACCACUCUUAGAUGAAAGCAAAUCAGGUGACUUUAAGCACUCGAAAAAGCUUGAAUUCUACUUGCAGUCUUUUUAGGCUACUAAUUUCUUUAGCAAGCUUUUGUUAUUGGGCAGUGAAAAGGAGGGCUUUUGCUUGACCUCUAUGGUAGGGUUUCUUAGUAGUGGCACUGUUGACAUUUUGGGUCACGUAAUUCUUUGUUGUGGGGGGGCUGUCCUAUGCACUGUAAGAUGUUUAGCAGCAUUCCUGGCUUCCCAGGAUGCCAAUAGCUUUGCUCCUCUCAUCCCAGUUGUGACGUUGAAAUAUGUGUGCAGACGUUGCCGGAUGUACCUGGAGGUAGAGAGAGGGGGGGAAAAAAUCACCACACUAUGGCAAUUACCACAGCUUUUGAAUCAGGGAAUUCUAAAUUAACACGAGGUAACAUUAUCUUACUUUUAUCCAUUGCAUUUAUAAAUAUUUUGUCUUUUCUCUUGGUCCUCAAAAGCAAAAUUCCAUAUGCUAUAUAAAAGAUAAUUCAUUCUCCUAGUCAUUGAGCCAGUGAACAUUCACUGAGUGCUUACUGCAUGCAAUCAACUUUCCCCAGGCAUUGCAAAGAAUACAGAAAAAAGUAGGUUUUUGUCCUCAAGAAGCUUGAGAUCUCGGAGGAGGUAGAGAAGGGAUUUAGGUCGUGUAUAUACAUGACUAUCAAGCAAGUAGGAAGAACUAAAUUCAAAUAAAGAAAGAGGUAAAAUUUAUUGAGAGGAACUUUUACUUUUCCCUUGCAGACCAGCGGUGAUUUAGAAGUUUAUCCCUGAGCUGGGAUUCUGGAAUCAGAGUUUAAUAGAGCAAGGUUAACCUAAGUUUUGGGGUAUGAGAGUAGAUUUGGAAUUGGAGCUAGACCUCUGGAACAAAACAUCAAAUCAAUGGGGGUAGGCAGAGAGAUAGAAACCCAGUCUGAAGCCAAAGGUUCUCAACCAGAAAUGGCAAGAUGGAGGGUGCAUGUUCAAGAGGACCAAAAAGCGGGGGAGCCUGGAAAAGGUUGCUGAAACACUGACAAACAGCCCCUGGUCCAUUUUGUAGGAAACUGCUAAUGAGCUCAGGUGCAAUCACAGCUGUAGGAGCACUAAACUGAUUUAAUGGGUGGGAGGCCUUCCAGUGGGACCAGAAUUAUUCUUCUCUUACCCAUGGUGCCCAGGAACUCAGCAGUGGUGUAUGGAAAGCAAUUCCAAGCCAUACACAGGCAAUGGAAGAUGAGAUAUCAGAGGGUCCUGCUUCCAAGUACCUCCCACUGGCCAGCCCUGUGCCCAACAUCUCCACCAUUAGGGCUUUGUCAUUUGGGUGAGUCUUCUGAAAAAGCAAACAUUCUCCCCAAAAUGGUGUUAUUAUCCAUGAACUCGUGGUGUUAUAAUUUUCGAAGUAUAUUCCAAAGACUCUUAAUAGGUAUUACCUUGAAGAGUUUAAUCAACCAAUUAGUUUCUGAAGUGCCUGGUAAAAGAAAUUAAACACAUUUUUUUACUGCAGAAUUUAUAAGAACCUUUAAGAUACAUCAUCAAUCUCAAAUGGAGGGUUAUACUGUGAAACACUUCCAAAAUUUAUUUGAAUACAAAGCCAUUUUAUCGUGUAACAUCUCAUGAGAACAUGGUGUAUGCUACAUGCUUUGUGUAACCCUGCGUGGUUGUGAAAUGAGUGGCUGUUGCCAACUGUCUGGACUUUAAGUGAAUGGGGUAUAGCAGGAAAAAUAUAUCAACAUGUGCAUAUUCACAGACCUCUCCCUCCACACCUGCUAAAGGAAAACUUGACUUUGCCAGUUUGGUUCCACCGCAUUUCUUGCCCCACCAAAUAGAGUUCUGUCUUGAUCACCAGUUUCAUGGUCUUUAUUAUACAUCACUGUAAAUGGUGAAGUCUGGAGAUGCUGGCUAAUUACUCUAAAGAGCAGAUGAUAGGAGAAAAAUAACGGAAAUAUUAAGGGGGGAAUGAAAAGUAGGGCAGGUUUGGAGAGCAGUCGUUGGUGGAGUAGGGCAGGUAACUGACUCUGAGAGCUGCCUUUGUGCAUCUUGGAGUCUGAGAAAGAGCGAAUGCCUGGUAAGAGAAUAUUUUUCUGGACGUGAGAAGAGUAAUUCUUAAGUUGACGUUUUUCCUUAUCAAACUGUAGUAAACAUUUAAAUUGCUUUUUAUUUACUUUUGGUUGCUAGGAUGAAUUUAUUUAAAUAUGAAAAUGAGCUGAAAUGGGGUGUUAAGGUGGGAUCCAAAAGGUCUGUCUUUAUAAAGGCAGUUACAGGGAAUAUUUAACGAGAAGCAGAGAUCCUGGGUUAAGGUGAAAGAGAGUCGGAGUAUGUGAGUAUCCUGGAAAUAAAGGCUUACUGGGAUGAUCUAGUGAAUGUUAUUUUUGCCUUCCCAUUCGCCUUCUCAGAACAACAAUCUCCUUCUUGUAGGAAUUGCUCCUCUCCUGCUCCAUGCGGUUCUGGGGAGCUGCCAAUCACAGGACAUAGCCCUGUGGCCACAGGAAUGGGCACACAUUCCAGUAGGCCUGGUCAAUCAUAGUUGCCCAUUUCCAUGGCUUCAAAGAUGGGCACAUGACCCAGUUCAGGCCAGUCAGACUCCUUCCCUGAAAUUUUAUAUAACAAAAUGAUGGAAUAGAGAGGCUCUGGUGUGACUAAGCAGGGAUGAUGCUAGCCUGUCAUCUGGAUUCACGCUUCUUUUAUCAUUCCAUCCCUCAACCUGGCCACUAGGAAGAAGCCAAUCUGUAGAAAAGAAGGUGGACAUCAGUAGAAUCUGAGAUGGGAGAUGGAGGGAGAUGGUAAAACGUAGUCACACUGUCUAAGUUACUGGGCUCCCCAAGGCCAGCUUACCUCUGCACUUCUCCACUAUUUGAGCCAGACAUUCCAGUUUAGCUUAACUAAUUUUAGUUUCUGUCAUUUGUAACCAAAGGAGUCCCAAUGAUUUAUCCAGCAAUGUGCUGAGUGCCUUGAGGAGAGAAAGUGUAGAUGGCUGUCAUGAGGGAGAAAGGCCGUGAAGGUGGAGAGAGAACGUGUUACUGUAAACUUUCUCUUGAGCUCUAUUUGCUUGGAGCAGAACCUGAUGGGGACCUGAUGGUGUGAGGAGGGAGUGGGAGUCGUAAAGUGAGUGAGAAUUGAGAAAUUAAUUUCCUCUCUUUGCCUUGAAUCGGCUGCCCUUCUGAGGUGAUAAGGCAAGAUGAGCUGGGUUCCUUGGAUGGUAAGUUGAUUUUGAAUUAUGUAAAUUUAUGCUCUAAAAAUUGAUCUUUCUUUUCUCUGAUUCUCUGAUCUGUGUCAUCACUGUAGUCACUAUGCUACAUUUGAGUAAAAAAAGUACAAGCUCACAGUUUUUAUCACUUGCCUGUUUUAAACAUUUCUUUAUGGUUAGGAGAGGCUGUAGGUACAAAGAAAAUAUGAUGCUUCUUCGUGAUACAUCUGGUGCAGUAUUCAGAUUGUCAACAUGAGCAUGAUGAAAUAGUGGUAGCGUCUACCCGUAUCCUGCUGAGCACGAUUACGUGCUCACAGCAUCAAUGCAGGGCGGUGUGCUUCAUUGCAUUGGCAUUCAUAGAUUCUUCUCAUAUACACACCCCAUAUAUUUAUUUCGGAAAUUCAGUUCAUCCUGCACAAAUUAAAGUCUCACUUUGUGUCUUUGUGAAAGGUAGUAACUAAGCAGAUAUGCUUUGAAGUAGGAAGCAUUUGAGUUCUUGAAAGAAAAGACAGAGACCAUAUUGAUUUUUCACUGUGAACCUGAAACACAAAUGAGAAUACUACAUCAGGUUUUUUCCCUUCGUUAUUUAUUUUAUUUUAUUUCUCUAUCCUUCUGUUAAAAAGGAAGUUCUUGUGCAGCUGCCCCUGGUCUUAGCUUGUCAUCUCUCUUCUCUUCUAUUCUCUAUAUACUUAGAGGGUUGAUGUACUGUAAACUCAAGCUGAAUUAGAAAUCCAUUUCCAAAAGCAACUAAACUGGGAAAUUAAUUUACCCUUCGAUCUGUGUGCAUGGGCGUGAGGUGUGGGCAUGGCUUAUUGGGAGGCGGUGUGGCAGCAGGCUUGUGUUCCUGGUUAGUAAACUUCUCAUAAACUUGGCAGCAGGGCUAGGGAACCUCUAGUCAUAAUCCGGGAGCUUUUCUGUCUAGAUAAGAAGGUCUUGGGCUCCGUCAAGUGGGGACUUGAUUUUUUAAAUAGUUUAUAGUACUAUGCACUGGUUGAGGAAACUUGGGGAGUGUAGCCAAGUGAAGAAGUUAUGGAGGGAAAGUGAUGAUGAUAAUAAUGAUGAUGACUAAUAUUUAUCAAACACUUACGAUGUGUAAGGGACUAUUUGGAACACUCUACAUAAGUUCUCAUUUAACUGCUACAACUUUAUGAUGUUGCCUAUCUCUCAGAUGAGGAAACUGAGGCUCUGAGAUAGAGCUCAUGCAGCAAGUGUGAUAUAGAAUGGGAUUUGGGCCCAGAUCUCUGUGGCUCCAGGAGCUGAUUAGGAUUCAACAGAUAAAUGAUGAUUCAGUGUGUCUAUCAAGGGAAUGCCUAUCUUGCCAGGCUGCCUAGGUUGGGACUUAUCGUCAGGGAGGUUGUAAAGAGAAUUCCUGUACACUGGGCAAAGAGGACAGGAUGAAGACUCAGAAGGGAAAGACACCAUCUGGGGGAGUGACCUGAGAAUUUGGGCAGGUAAGCUGGGGUCAUAUGUUUUUAUAAGGAUUUGGUGUCUUAAUCCUAAAAGCCUUAGGAAGCAUUUGAAAGGCUUCAAAUUGGAAAGAGACUUGCAUUUUUGUAAGAUUGCACUGGCUUUGCUGAAAAAUGGAUCCAAGUGGCCAGACAGGGUGCAGCAGAAACUUUUAGGAGCUCAUUCCAUUGAUACCAUUAACAUGGGAGAGCUAAUCAUGGCUUGAACUAAGCCACUUGAUUAAAAUAAAUUCACCAGUUUAGACAAUAUCAUCCCCAGAUGUUUAGUCUGCCACAUUCCCAAUCAUCCCUCUUGCCUUGUAAUUCUCUCCAUUGCUCAUCCCUCUCAGCUGGUCAAGAAAACUUGGGGAAUUUUCUGAAGUCACUUGUCAAAUCUGGGUAGGCAGGGAGGAUUAGUGCAAAUAAGUGACUUAAUCCUGUCCCUGGUUAGAGGUGUUGGAUGAAAGGACAGUCAUAUCUUUAGUUGAGAUGGAGGAAGGCAGGUCUGACGGACUGGGUUUGCUGUGGGUCGGAGGUAGAAGGAUUGAAGUCACCAUUUGUUCCCAAGCCAGGUAUCUCAGGGAAGUAGAAAAAGCUGGAAACUGGAAAUUGGGAGACUCUUCUUAUGAAACUAUAGGGCCUUAGCCAUGUCACUUAAUCUCUUUAAAUCUCAGUUGUUUUUUCUAGGAAGUAGAAGUAGGAAUAAUAGUAAUGCCUGCCCUCUGUUUCUCCUAGAUUCUUGGGAGGAUCCAGUAAAAUGGCAUAUGUGGAAAAGCCACAAAUCAUUCUAUACACAUUAACUCUCAUGUCCAGUCAUCAAGGAAACGUGUUUCAUUCUGAGAUGAAGAUGGAUGCUCACUGUACAAAUAAAGCAUGUGAGAGGUAAACGGGCACUGUUGGAUACAUGCAUCGUUGGAAGAAAAUAAGACGGUGGCCAUGUCAUUCUGACCCGACUUUCCCUUCUUUGACUUGAUACUCCACCUUCAGAAACAGGGAAAGUCUCCAUGGCUCAGCUCUUCCAGCAACGCUGCUCACUGUGGUGAUAUCUAUGAGUUAACUUCACCAUCCUUGCAGGUAGGCUCUCAACUGAGCUCUGUUUCUUCUGCUUUUCACUUGGUCUUGUUACCGAACCAGGUUUGUUUUUGCCCACUGCCCAGAAAGCCAAACACCAAGACG